CGCAGGCGGUUUAAUAAGUCUGAAGUUAAAGGCAGUGGCUUAACCAUUGUUCGCUUUGGAAACUGUUAAACUUGAGUGCAGAAGGGGAGAGUGGAAUUCCAUGUGUAGCGGUGAAAUGCGUAGAUAUAUGGAGGAACACCGGUGGCGAAAGCGGCUCUCUGGUCUGUAACUGACGCUGAGGCUCGAAAGCGUGGGGAGCAAACGGGAUUAGAUACCCUGGUAGUCCACGCCGUAAACGAUGAGUGCUAGGUGUUAGGCCCUUUCCGGGGCUUAGUGCCGCAGCUAACGCAUUAAGCACUCCGCCUGGGGAGUACGACCGCAAGGUUGAAACUCAAAGGAAUUGACGGGGGCCCGCACAAGCGGUGGAGCAUGUGGUUUAAUUCGACGCAACGCGAAGAACCUUACCAGGUCUUGACAUCUAGUGCAAUCUGUAGAGAUACGGAGUUCCCUUCGGGGACGCUAAGACAGGUGGUGCAUGGCUGUCGUCAGCUCGUGCCGUGAGGUGUCGGCUUAAGUGCCAUAACGAGCGCAACCCCUCUCCAUAGUUGCCAUCAGGUAAAGCUGGGCACUCUAGGGAGACUGCCAGGGAUAACCUGGAGGAAGGUGGGGAUGACGUCAAAUCAUCAUGCCCCUUAUGACUUGGGCUACACACGUGCUACAAUGGCGUAAACAAAGGGAGGCAAAGCCGCGAGGUGGAGCAAAUCCCAAAAAUAACGUCUCAGUUCGGACUGCAGUCUGCAACUCGACUGCACGAAGCUGGAAUCGCUA
rnacentral:rRNA from 1 species